AUAGUAAAGUUUGAGGUCUGGCAGGGCAAAUCCACCUCUUUCCUUUGCAUCUGUUAGUAUUUUAAAUUUUAUUCUAGGCUUCUUGCCCUGCCAGACAAAUUUAGAAAUAUCUUUCUGCCACCUCUUGAAACAAUCCAUUUUGUCCACAAUCUGCAAAGUUUGGAACAAAAACAACAUUCUAGGCAAUACAUUCAUUUUUAUCGCAGCAAUACGGCCCAGCAGUGAAAGCUUCAAAUUUGACCAAAUUUCUAAAUCUUUUUCACUUCAGACCAGCAUUUUUCAUAGUUAUCUUUAAAUAAGUUCCCAUUUUUGCUGUCAUGUUAAUCCCCAAAUAUUUAACUUUCUUAACCACUGUUAAACCUGUCUCAUUCUGAAACCUCUCUCUUUCAAUCGGUGUUAAAUUUUUCUCUAAAACCUUGGUUUUUGACUUAUUCAAUUUAAAUCCUGCCACUUGACCAAAUUCUUGAAUCAGUUCUAAAACCCUUUUAGUACUAGAUUCUGGCUCCUGUAACAUCAAUACUAAGUCAUCUGCAAAUGCUCUCAAUUUGUACUGUUUAGUUCCGACCUGUAUACCUUUAACCGACUGGUCCCUUCUAAUCAUAUUCAGCAAAACCUCCAGGACCGAAAUAAAAAGAAGUGGGGAAAUUGGGCAACCUUGUCGUGUCCCUUUUUCAAUUUUAAGUUCUUCCGUCACAACAUUAUUUACAAUUAGUUUAGCCUUUUGUUCUGAAUAAAUUGCACUUAUACCAUUCUCAAAACCUUGGCCUACCCCCAUACCCUGUAGAUUCUUCUUCAUAAAAUUCCAAGAAAUGUUGUCAAAGGCUUUCUCCGCGUCUACAAAUAUCAACACUGCUUUAGUGUUUAUAUUCACUUCUAAUUUUUCCAAAAUAUCAAUUAUAUUCCUCAAAUUGUCAGACAAAUGUCUUCCUGGGAGAAAGCCCGCUUGGUCUUUGUGAAUCUCUUCCAUCAACACUUUUUUAAAUCUCUUAGCCAGAACAUCUGCAAAAAUUUUGUAAUCCACAUUAAGUAAUGAUAUAGGGCGGUAGUUCUUAAGCUGUGUCUUUUCAGUCUCUGUUUUUGGUACAAGUGUAAUAUAUGCUUCUUUCCACGACUCUGGUGCUCUUUUCCCCUCCAUUAUUUCGUUGCAGACCUCUUUCAAAGGUUGAAUUAACCAUUCUUUUAAAGAUCUGUAGUAUCUAGAAGUCAAGCCGUCUGGUCCUGGAGAUUUACCCAGUUGCAUGUUUUGAAUGGCACCUUCUAUUUCCUGUUCGGUUAUUCUAUGAUUCAAAAUUAAUUUAUUUUCUUGAGAUAUUUUUUGUAAUCCAUUUGUUUUCAAAAAUUGGUCUAGGUCUGUUUCUUUCAAUGGCCCUUGAGUGUAUAAUCGUUUAAAGUACCUCUGGAAACAACUUCUGAUCUCUGCAGGGUUCUGUAUAUUUCUUCCUUCCACUUCUAAGUUCGUAAUCGUAUUUAGUUUCUGUCUCUUUUUCAUUUGCCAUGCCAACAAUUUGCCAUAUUUAUUGGCCGACUCAAAAGUCUUUUGUCUCAUUUGUUUAAUUUUCCAUUCUAUUUCCUGAUUCAUCAUUUUCAUAUAUUGUACUUGAUAUAACUUUAACUCUCUCAAAAUCUCUUGAGAUUUGGGGUUUACUCUCAGUCUUUUUUCACAUUCCUUUAUUUUGUCCAUUAUUUUAUCCUUCUUCUCAUUUUGAGUUCUUUUCUUUAUUGCAUUCUGUUGUAUUAAGAACCCUCUCAUAACCACUUUACUUGCGUCCCAGAUUACUCUUUUCUCCACGUUGGUACUGAGGUUUAUCUCGAAGUAAUCUCUCAGAGUUUUUUGGGCCUUCUUAAGAAAUUCUUCAUCUCUAAAUAAGGUGUCAUUCAUCUUCCAUCUGAAGGAGCCAGUUGGUGUUAGUCUCAUUUCCAUCUUAACAGCAUUGUGGUCGGAGCAAAUUUUCGGGCAGAUUUCCACCUUUCUUGUCUUUGGUGCCAUUCCUUUAGUUAUCCAAAUUUGGUCAAUUCUUGUCCAUGUCAUUUUGGCUUCAGAAAAGAAAGUUCCCUCUUUAGCCAUGGGGUUUCUUAUUCUCCAAAUGUCCACUAAAUCCAAGUUGUCUGUCAUGUCAAAAAAAGUUUUCGGUAGUCUACCAUCCUUGGUGACUACCUGUCUUUGUGCCUUGUCCAUAUAUGUAGAUACCACUCCAUUCAUAUCUCCCAUCAAAAUCAUGUUAUAAUCCAUAUGGUCCAUCAGGGUCUCGUGCAGCUUCUUAAAAAUUCAGAUUUCCGUCAUUUGGUGCAUAGAUUCCUACUAUCAAAAUUUUUCUCCUUGUGUUUGAAUUUCAAUUGCCACAAAUCUUCCUUGGUCAUCUUUAAAAACAAAUUUCGGUGAUAAUCAGUCUUUCGCAUAAAUCACAACCCCUCUUUUUUUAACUUUGUCCGACGAAAUAAACUCCUGACCAAGUCUUUUAUUUAUCAACAAUUUCCUGUGUAAUCUUGUUUUAUGUGUUUCUUGUAAACAAAUUAAGUCUAAUUGUUCCUUUUUUAAUAUAUAAAAUACUGAUUUCCUUUUCUGAGGGGAAUUCAAACCCCGACAGUUCCAUGUUAGAAGUUGCAGGGCCAUGAUGUUAUUGUUUUAAUUCUCCUCCUACUGCACCUAGUGCCUGUUCCUCAUCCGUCGGUGGUAUCACUUUUUUCGAACGGUCUUUUGGUUCCAGAGAUAGUUCUUUUUGUAGGUCUUCUCCGUGGUCUCUCCAAAAUUUGUCUUUGUCGUCUUCCGAUCUUAUUUUCCUCUUCUUUCCUUUGUAGCUAAAAGAUAGGCCUUGAGGGGUUCCCACCUAAAGUUAAUACUGUUCCUUCUCAGCAGGGUAACCAAGUC